GAGGAAAGAGGGAGGGGGGAGGAACACAGGAAAGUCGAACGGAAAGGCCCUGCUUUUGUGGGGUGCUCGAGUGGCGAACGGGUGAGUAACACGUGAGUAACCUGCUCUUGACUUUGGGAUAACUUCAGGAAACUGGGGCUAAUACCGGAUAGGAGCUCCUGCUGCAUGGUGGGGGUUGGAAAGUUUCGGCGGUUGGGGAUGGACUCGCGGCUUAUCAGCUUGUUGGUGGGGUAGUGGCUUACCAAGGCUUUGAAGGGUAGCCGGCCUGAGAGGGUGACCGGCCACAUUGGGACUGAGAUACGGACCAGACUCCUACGGGAGGCAGCAGUGGGGAAUAUUGCACAAUGGGCGGAAGCCUGAUGCAGCAACUCCGCGUGCGGGAUAACCGCCUUCGGGUUGUAAACCGCUUUCGCCUGUGACGAAGCGUGAGUGACGGUAAUGGGUAAAGAAGCACCGGCUAACUACGUU
rnacentral:rRNA from 1 species